GAUGAUUGAUUAGGGUUUUAGUGUCGUCGGACCAGGCUUCAUUCCCCCCAAUUAUCACUCCCUCACAAUCCGAAUUAACGAAGAAGAUUUGUCCAUUUUCAACUUUUGAUCUAGGGUUUCUAUCUAUGAAUCCAUGUGAUAUAUUUCAAUAAUUCAGUGUAAAACUUAGUUCGAUCUUUAACUCUUUCUCUGACUCAAUUAUUUUUGUAGGUCUUCAAGAUCUUCUGAGUUUCAGGUGGGUUUGAUUUUUUUUUAAACAGAUUGGUGUAAUGAUGAAGGAGUCUGACUCAUGACAAGUUAGCAUUCAGAGAGGCUAAAUCUAUUCCUGGUCAUGAUUAAUGAUUAGGGUUAUUUACUUUCAGAUCCGUUUGUUUCUAAAAAAUCAAACCAGAUCUGCUAGAUCUGAAGCUAGUAGAUCUGAGUCUUUCAAACUACUGCUAUAUUUAUGUUUCUUGUUAGUACAACUAUUAGCCUUAGGGUUUCGUCAUUACAUUACUUCAAAGAUUUAAUACUUUA
rnacentral:precursor_RNA from 1 species